rnacentral:rRNA from 1 species
UACAGGGGGUGCAAACGUUGCUCGGAAUCAUUGGGCGUAAAGCGCACGUAGGCGGUUCGUUAUGUCGGAUGUGAAAGCCCUUGGCUUAACCGAGGAAGUGCAUCCGAAACUGGCGAGCUAGAGUACUAAAAGAGGGAUCGCGGAAAUUCCCCGGUGUAGAGGUGAAAAUUCGUAGAUAUCGGGAGGAACACCGGUGGCGAAGGCGGCGACCUGGACAAGUACUGACACUCAACUACGAAAGCGUGGGUAGCAAACAGG